rnacentral:rRNA from 1 species
AACGAACGCUGGCGGCGCGCCUAAUACAUGCAAGUCGAGCGAGAAGACGUAGCAAUACGUUUGUAAAGCGGCGAACGGGUGAGGAAUACAUGGGUAACCUACCCUCGAGUGGGGAAUAACUAGCCGAAAGGUUAGCUAAUACCGCGUACGCUCCUUGGACUUCGGUUCAGGGAGGAAAGCGAUACCGUGGGUAUCGCGCUCUUGGAUGGGCUCAUGUCCUAUCAGCUUGUUGGUGAGGAACGGCUCACCAAGGCUUCGACGGGUAGCUGGUCUGAGAGGACGAUCAGCCACACUGGCACUGCGACACGGGCCAGACUCCUACGGGAGGCAGCAGUAAGGAAUAUUGCGCAAUGGGCGAAAGCCUGACGCAGCGACGCCGCGUGGGGGAUGAAGGUCUUCGGAUUGUAAACCCCUUUCGGGAGGGAAGAUGGAACGAGCAAUCGUUCGGACGGUACCUCCAGAAGCAGCCACGGCUAACUUCGUGCCAGCA